GAUGAACGCUAGCGGAAGGCUUAAUACAUGCAAGUCGAGCGGUAGGUGGCUUCGGCCAUUGAGAGCGGCGCACGGGUGAGUAACGCGUACAUGACCUGCCUGUCAGAAGGGGAUAGCCCUGGGAAACUGGGAUUAAUACCCUAUGGUAUUGAUAUUAUGAAUGAUAUCAAUUAAAGUUGAGGCGCUGACAGAUGGAUGUGCGUCUGAUUAGCUAGUUGGUAGGGUAACGGCCUACCAAGGCGACGAUCAGUAGGGGGCGUGAGAGCGUGGUCCCCCACACGGGUACUGAGACACGGACCCGACUCCUACGGGAGGCAGCAGUAAGGAAUAUUGGUCAAUGCCCGCAAGGGUGAACCAGCCAUUCCGCGUGGAGGAUGAAGGCCCUAAUGGGUUGUAGACUUCUUUUAGAUGGGAAGAAAAUGCUAGAUGUAUCUGGUACUGACGGUACCAUCAGAAUAAGCACCGGCUAACUCCGUGCCAGCCGCCGCGGUAAAACC
rnacentral:rRNA from 1 species